rnacentral:rRNA from 1 species
UACGUAGGGCGCAAGCGUUGUCCGGAAUUAUUGGGCGUAAAGAGCUCGUAGGCGGCCUGUUGCGUCCGCUGUGAAAUCCCGGGGCUCAACCCCGGGCCUGCAGUGGAUACGGGCUGGCUAGAGGCAGGCAGGGGAGAACGGAAUUCCUGGUGUAGCGGUGAAAUGCGCAGAUAUCAGGAGGAACACCGGUGGCGAAGGCGGGUCUCUGGGCCGUUACUGACGCUGAGGAGCGAAAGCGUGGGGAGCGAACAGG